rnacentral:rRNA from 1 species
GGUGGCGACCGGCGCACGGGUGCGUAACACGUAUACAAUCUACCUUAAACAGGGGGAUAGCCUUUCGAAAGAGAGAUUAAUACCCCGUAAUAAAUUGAACGGCAUCGUUUGAUUUUGAAAGCUCCGGCGGUUUGAGAUGAGUAUGCGUCUGAUUAGCUAGUUGGUGAGGUAACGGCUCACCAAGGCGACGAUCAGUAGGGGAUCUGAGAGGACUAACCCCCACACUGGUACUGAGACACGGACCAGACUCC